UACGGAGGAGGCAAGCGUUAUCCGGAAUUAUUGGGCGUAAAGCGUCCGUAGGUGGCUAGUCAAGUCUGCGGUGAAAGACUGGGGCUUAACCCUGGAAAGGCCGUGGAAACUGACGAGCUAGAGUGCAGUAGGGGUAGAGGGAAUUCCCGGUGUAGCGGUGAAAUGCGUAGAGCUCGGGAAGAACAUCGGUGGCGAAAGCGCUCUACUGGACUGCAACUGACACUCAGGGACGAAAGCUAGGGGAGCGAAUGGG
rnacentral:rRNA from 1 species